rnacentral:miRNA from 1 species
AGCGCCACCGGACGGGGAUUUAUG